rnacentral:rRNA from 1 species
GGAGGCAGCAGUAGGGAAUCUUCCACAAUGGGCGAAAGCCUGAUGGAGCAACGCCGCGUGGGUGAAGAAGGUCUUCGAUUCGUAAAACCCUGUUGUUAGAGAAGAAAGUGCGUGAGAGUAACUGUUCACGUUUCGACGGUAUCUAACCAGAAAGCCACGGCUAACUACGUGCCAGCAGCCGCGGUAAUACGUAGGUGGCAAGCGUUAUCCGGAUUUAUUGGGCGUAAAGGGAACGCAGGCGGUCUUUUAAGUCUGAUGUGAAAGCCUUCGGCUUAACCGGAGUAGUGCAUUGGAAACUGGGAGACUUGAGUGCAGAAGAGGAGAGUGGAACUCCAUGUGUAGCGGUGAAAUGCGUAGAUAUAUGGAAGAACACCAGUGGCGAAAGCGGCUCUCUGGUCUGUAACUGACGCUGAGGUUCGAAAGCGUGGGUAGCAAACAGGAUUAGAUACCCUGGUAGUCCACGCCGUAAACGAUGAAUGCUAAGUGUUGGAGGGUUUCCGCCCUUCA